CAGGAAGACACGUUGCUUUCUCCAUCUCUAGAACGAGGUUCUUGGCCAACACAAAGGAGAAACGAGGAGCCUAAGCAGGGAGAAAUAAAUGUGUUGGGGGAGAGGAGGGCAGAGAGCUAUAAAGCAGAACCAGACCAUGUGCUGAGGCCACAGUUACCUUGACAUGCAUCCUGUUGAGAGGAUCCCAGCAAGGGAGGCACGUGUUCUGCUCUACACUUCCAUAGAACUACUUUGCCUGCUCUGCAGAAGGACAGAGGACCCAAUGAGGAAGCUAUGGCCAGCAUCAGGCUGCUUUUUAUUAGGAGGAAGAACACUUUUACUUUUUUUUUUUUGGAAGAAAGUAAGAAAGUGCCAUCAAACAUUUGGCCGUAUUAAUCUCCCAUCUGUAAAACACUCUUUACUUGGAUUAUCAGCAGGGCAGAAGAAAAGAAGCAUCAUAGUCAUUUCAUAGGCAGCCAGACUUUUACUAAGGAAAUAAAAGACAUGGAACGAACAAUGAAACAUCUCUGAGAGACCCUUAAUGAUAGUUGACAACCUUCCAGAAGACAGAAGAGACAUUAUCCAGCAGAACUGAAAAACCAGCAAAAAGGCACGCUGCUUUGUUCCAAUAACUAUUCAAGACUCACAGAAAUAAAUCAGAGUUAAU